GGUGCCCGGUCGCCGCCCCCUCCGCCCGCAGUUCCCGAGGCCUGAGCCUCCGCGAGCCGGGAUAGGACCGAGUGGCGGGGCUCGGAGCCGCCUCGGCAGGAGCGGCCCUUCCCUCCCUGCAGGGACUCCAGUCCUCGCGGGUCCCGCUGCCCCGACUGCGGACGGAGUGGAUAGGGCGCACCUCCUCACACUCGCUUCCUGGGGUCGCGAACUUCCCGGGCCCCACGGUCCCUGCCACCUCUUCCAAAUGCUCGAGGACUACGCACUUCUACAAGUGAGGUUAGAAAAUAUCCAGAAAAAAUUGUGAAUAAAUCAGAGGAGAAAUGGACAUUACCCAGAUGUCAGGCUUGAAGCUUCAUAAAGUAACUGAAGAGAAUUUGGAAAACAAUGAGUCUGGACCUGGUUGUCAGCUCUGUCUGCACUUUGGCAAGAAGAAAUGUGGGUCUCUUUAAAUGUGACCAAAGAAGCAUGAUUUACCUUAAAUUGAUGGAGAGGAUACAGUGGAGGAUUCAGAGGUUGUAGAAGAUGGUGGAGUCUCUAGAUGGAAGGAAGCUGGGUCUCUGAAUCACAAAGUGAAAGACCACUCACCAAACGCCUUAUUGGACAAUGACAUGAAUGAGAACUAAAACCUUUAUAACUGUAACUCGCUAAUAGUUGGGGUUGAUUGUUAUGAUAGCUAGUCUACCUAGACCAAUAGAGCCAAUUCCUAAUAAUAUCAUCUCGGAAGGGUAGGAUGAAGCCUGAUUAUGCAAAGCGAUGAAAAUGACAUAUAUUGAGUAUCAAGGAAAAUUGAAAUCUUUGACAAAGUGGAAUUGCCAUCUCUGAAAACAGUUCUUUUAACUAAAAUACGCCAAUGUAUUAGCAAUUCUUCUUUGAACUAAAUAGAUUGGCACUUUUUGGACCUGAGAUGUGAAACUCUGCCCUAAGUUAGGAUUCAUCUUUCAAUUCAAACAGCAGUGUCAAUAGGAAAGCAAGUUGGCUGUUUGUGCUUAGCACCACCUGGCUGCAGUUACAUCACUCAGCACUAAACAUGCUGGCUGUGUCAGAUUUGAGUACUGUCAUUCUGAUGAAGUGGGGAGUGUGUUGCCCUGGUAGGAAGCCUUUUAAAUUGAAUGACAAGGUUUUUCUUAUUUGUUACAUCCCCAGGCCAUUGUCAAAUCAUAUAAUGCCAGCCCAGGAAAGUAAUUACAGAACUGUUGUGAGGCUGUUAGCAGCUGCUUUUCAUUUUUCCCCAUUGUGACUGGGAUGUGGUGGAGAAAAAUUGGGAUGACUAAGAACCACAACAUAAAUGCCACCCAAUCUGCUGGCCAGUCACAUAUGGCACUUACUUUCAACCAAAGGGAAAAGAGGAGGCCCCUGAAAUGUCGUUAGAUGUAAGAGCUGAAUAUAAUGCAGAAUCUACAGCAAAUUAUCACAGAACAAGGUGUGAGGAUAGGUGGAUUCCAUUUAUUAAAGCGUUAUGGAAAUCAUUAGGCCACAAAGUCUAAUUUCUAAAAACAAAAUUCUGUGUUGAUCCCAUUAAGAAAUCCCUCUUCCUCCUAGUUGCUACUUUUCUUUUAGCAUUUUCCUUAUUUUUGUGUAAGAAUUACAGUGACCCUUUGGUUAAUAACAUGUUACUCAAAGUUUCCAACAAUAAAUUUAGAUUCUCAUAAAAAAGCAACUGCUAAGAUAUAUGAAGGGGAAAUCAACAUUAUUUAACGUGUUUUAAUCUUACCAUAUUACCUUAAUUUGAUUCUUUGUAAUAAGAACCUUAUAAGUUAUCCAGUACUUAUUUUCAAAGUUAAUUUAUUUCCUAAACUCCAGUUUGUGAAGAAUGGCAGACAUUUGAUAAGCUGAUUUAAAGUAAAAACAGGUAUGUAUUGUUUUAAAGUUAUAACUGCUUAAAGUUUAAUGGAAACUUCUUAAAACCCCUAAUACUACUAAAUGCUGUAUUUCUAAUCAGGUGACAAUAUAAUCAUGAUGAACCUUAAGUGAUUACUCACUGUUUAUUUUCUUUGAAUGAAAUUGUUUAACUGGAAGCUAGUAAGUUAUUAUGUGCACAUACAAUUCAUUCUUGUUCUGAAAGUCAUUGCUUUCCUUUCCUUGGCUACUGAGAUACAAUAAAUACAUUUGUAUGUCUUUUAAAAAUUGCAGCAGGCAGUUGCUUCCCUAUACACUAGGCAAUAUCCCUUCCACUCAGAAUUGGAACUCUUUUGAAAAAAUAAUUUAUUUGCAAAUGAUGAAAGUGUUCAGAGGCUUGAGAUCCAACAACAUCCCAAAUGAAAAUAAUUAGAAUUUGUGGUAAAGAUAAGAGUGAGAUUUGAAACCUGUCGGUACAUAUCACCAAGAAGAAAUAAAUUAUGGCUUGUCAAAAA